rnacentral:misc_RNA from 1 species
GAUGAAGAACGUAGUGAAAUGCGAUAAGUAGUGUGAAUUGCAGAAUUCAGUGAAUCAUCGAGUCUUUGAACGCACAUUGCGCCCCCUGGUAUUCCGGGGGGCAUGCCUGUCCGAGCGUCAUUGCUGCCCUCAAGCACGGCUUGUGUGUUGGGCCCCCGUCCCCGGUUCUCCCCGGGGACGGGCCCGAAAGGCAGCGGCGGCACCGCGUCCGAUCCUCGAGCGUAUGGGGCUUUGUCACCCGCUCUGUAGGCCCGGCCGGCGCCAGCCGACACCCCAACUUUAUUUUCUAAGGUUGACCUCGGAUCAGGUAGGGAUACCCGCUGAACUUAAGCAUAUCAAUAAGCGGAGGA